rnacentral:lncRNA from 1 species
GAUUAUCAAGAGAUUAGAAAUGCUGCUCCUAGGAUUGGCAGGAGUGGGGAGAAAUGGCGUCUUCAUAAACGAAUGCUCUGCUGCUCGCUGACUCUUGACCACCCACAUAGACGUCCCGUGCCUCACUCUCCUCGUCUGUAAAAUGGAUGACGAGAGGACCCACGUUGCAGUGAAAGGGGAUUCCAGGCCACCCUGUGAAAUCACCGUGCGCGGGCAGACAGAAGUCUUGGUGAGGGGCUGGUGUGGAGCAGGAUGCCGCGGGAAUGCCACCAUCGGAUGCGUCAGGGUGGGAAGAAACAAAGGCUGACAACUGCAGCACCAGAUAUGAUGUCCAGAGCUGCAGCAGCCAUCCUGAAACUAUGUGGCACCAGGCUAACACUGAGGAUGGUGGGCAGAGAGAUGGAAAAACUUGGGUCCUUGGUGACCUCAUCAAGCUGCUAAAUCACCUGAAGCUGCCUAUGCCCAGGAUCCUUGAAGCCUCUACCCUCCAGGAGUAUGCCAGGAUCUAGUUCUGUGUCCAGAGGCCUUUCGGGAUUCUAUUGCCUGAUCUGACCAGAAGGGAAGCUGAAUCCUGAAUCCUGAAUCCUGCUGUCAG